GCGCCCUUAGCUCAGCUGGAUAGAGCGUCUGACUUCGAAUCAGAAGGCCGGGAGUUCGAGCCUCUCAGGGCGCGCCA
rnacentral:tRNA from 1 species